rnacentral:rRNA from 1 species
GUGUCAGCAGCCGCGGUAAUACGGAGGUUGCAAGCGUUGUUCGGAAUAACUGGGCGUAAAGGGAGCGCAGGCGGCUUGGUAAGUCUAAAGUGAAAUUCCAGGGCUCAACCCUGGACGUGCUUUGGAUACUGCCUGGCUUGAGUACGUGAGAGGAGAUUGGAAUUCCAGGUGUAGCGGUGAAAUGCGUAGAUAUCUGGAGGAACACCGGUGGCGAAAGCGGAUCUCUGGCACGUUACUGACGCUGAGGCUCGAAAGCAUGGGGAGCAAACGGGAUUAGAUACCCUUGUAGUCC